UACAGAGGAGCCAAGCGUUGUCCGGAUUGACUGGGCGUAAAGCGCACGUAGGCGGAUCCUUAAGUCAGGGGUGAAAUCCUGGAGCUCAACUCCAGAACUGCCUUUGAUACUGGAGAGCUUGAGUCCGGGAGAGGUGAGUGGAACUCCGAGUGUAGAGGUGAAAUUCGUAGAUAUUCGGAAGAACACCGGUGGCGAAGGCGGCUUCCUGGACCGACACUGACGCUGAGGCGCGAAAGCUAGGGGAGCGAACAGG
rnacentral:rRNA from 1 species